rnacentral:rRNA from 1 species
AGUGAACGCUGGCGGUAGGCCUAACACAUGCAAGUCGAACGGCAGCACAGUAAGAGCUUGCUCUUACGGGUGGCGAGUGGCGGACGGGUGAGGAGUACAUCGGAAUCUACUUUUUCGUGGGGGAUAACGUGGGGAAACUUACGCUAAUACCGCAUACGACCUACCGGUGAAAGCAAGAGAUCUUCGGACCUUGCGCGAUUGAUUGAGCCGAUGUCGGAUUAGCUAGUUGGCGGGGUAAAGGCACACCAAGGCGACGAUCCGUAGCUGGUCUGAGAGGAUGAUCAGCCACACUGGAACUGAGACACGGUCCAGACUCCUACGGGAGGCAGCAGUGGGGAAUAUUGGACAAUGGGCGCAAGCCUGAUCCAGCCAUACCGCGUGGGUGAAGAAGGCCUUCGGGUUGUAAAGCCCUUUUGUUGGGAAAGAAAAGCAGCAGGUUAAUACCCCGCUGUUCUGACGGUACCCAAAGAAUAAGCACCGGCUAACUUCGUG